rnacentral:rRNA from 1 species
GACAGAGGGUGCAAACGUUGUUCGGAAUUACUGGGCGUAAAGCGCGUGUAGGCUGCUUCGCAAGUCGGAUGUGAAAGCCCUGGGCUCAACCCAGGAAGUGCAUUCGAAACUGCAGAGCUGGAGUCCUGGAGAGGAAGGCGGAAUUCUCGGUGUAGAGGUGAAAUGCUUAGAUAUCGUCAAGAACACCGAUAGCGAAGGCAGCUUACUGGGCUGUAACUGACGCCGAGGCACGAAAGUGUGGGGAUCAAACAGG